rnacentral:rRNA from 1 species
GAUGGGGAUGCGUCUGAUUAGCUUGUUGGCGGGGUAACGGCCCACCAAGGCGACGAUCAGUAGGGGUUCUGAGAGGAAGGUCCCCCACAUUGGAACUGAGACACGGUCCAAACUCCUACGGGAGGCAGCAGUGAGGAAUAUUGGUCAAUGGACGGAAGUCUGAACCAGCCAAGUAGCGUGCAGGAUGACGGCCCUAUGGGUUGUAAACUGCUUUUGUAUGGGGAUAAAGUUAGGGACGUGUCCCUAUUUGCAGGUACCAUACGAAUAAGGACCGGCUAAUUCCGUGCCAGCAGCCGCGGUAAUACGGAAGGUCCAGGCGUUAUCCGGAUUUAUUGGGUUUAAAGGGAGCGUAGGCUGGAGAUUAAGUGUGUUGUGAAAUGUAGACGCUCAACGUCUGAAUUGCAGCGCAUACUGGUUUCCUUGAGUACGCACAACGUUGGCGGAAUUCGUCGUGUAGCGGUGAAAUGCUUAGAUAUGACGAAGAACUCCGAUUGCGAAGGCAGCUGACGGGAGCGCAACUGACGCUUAAGCUCGAAGGUGCGGGUAUCAAACAGGAUUAGAUACCCUGGUAGUCCGCACAGUAAACGAUGGAUGCCCGCUGUUGGUACCUGGUAUCAGCGGCUAAGCGAAAGCAUUAAGCAUCCCACCUGGGGAGUACGCCGGCAACGGUGAAACUCAAAGGAAUUGACGGGGGCCCGCACAAGCGGAGGAACAUGUGGUUUAAUUCGAUGAUACGCGAGGAACCUUACCCGGGCUUGAAUUGCAGAGGAAGGAUUUAGAGAUAAUGACGCCCUUCGGGGCCUCUGUGAAGGUGCUGCAUGGUUGUCGUCAGCUCGUGCCGUGAGGUGUCGGCUUAAGUGCCAUAACGAGCGCAACCCCU